rnacentral:sRNA from 1 species
AACCUAUUCUUCUUUCUCUUUCACUGCAACCCUCACUGAAUUAGUGUUCUGGUCGUGGUUCUCUCUCGUCGAUCCCUUCUUCCCUUUUAGUGGAGCCUUGGUUCUCUCUCGUUGAGCUUUCGUAGGUCGCGCACUGGAACCCUAAUUUUCCCUCAUUCGAACCAUCAUUGUGCGUCAUUGGUACCAUAGUUAAUUGUUGGUGUGCGAAGUGAUUCACAUAUAUGGGAGCCUUGCCAUUUUCAUGGUGAAGCUUUUCGGUAGAAGACCUGAGAAGCGUUACAAAUGGGAAACUCUACCUAUCCCAUGGUUCUGGUUCAAGUCCCAAUGUACAACGAAAGAGAGGUAGCACAACAGAUUAUCUUUCUCCAUCUGUUUUCACUCACUCGUCUUU